GGAGUCACGCCAGAAUCUUACCCGGAGAGACAGCAGAAUGAAGGUCAAGCUGAAGACUUUACCAGACAAGCUGAGAGGUGGUGCAUGGCCGUCGCCAGCUCGUGCCGUGAGAUGUCCUGUUAAGUCAGGUAACGAGCGAGAUCCUCGCCACUAGUUGCUAUCAUUAUUCUCAGGAAUAGUGGGGCGAAUUAGUGGGACUGCCGUUGUUAAAACGGAGGAAGGAGGGGGCUACGGCAGGUCAGUAUGCCCCGAAACUCUGGGGCCACACGCGGGCUGCAAUGGUGGCGACAAUGAGCUCCAAACUCGAAAGAGAGUGGCAAUCUCUAAACGCUACCACAGUUAUGACUGAGGGCUGUAACUCGCCCUCACGAAUAUGGAAUCCCUAGUAACCGCGUGUCAUUACCGCGCGGUGAAUACGUCCCUGCUCCUUGCACACACCGCCCGUCGUUUCAUCGAAGUUUGCUUUUAGCGAGGUGAUGUUUAAUUGACAUUAUCGAACUUGAGGUAAGUGACGAGGGAAAAGUCGUAACAAGGUGACCGUAGGGGAACCUGCGGUCGGAUCA
rnacentral:rRNA from 1 species